UACGGAGGGUGCAAGCGUUAAUCGGAAUAACUGGGCGUAAAGCGCACGCAGGCGGUUUGAUUAGUCAGAUGUGAAAUCCCCGAGCUCAACUUGGGAACUGCAUUUGAAACUGUCAAACUAGAGUCUUGUAGAGGGGGGUAGAAUUCCAGGUGUAGCGGUGAAAUGCGUAGAGAUCUGGAGGAAUACCAGUGGCGAAGGCGGCCCCCUGGACAAAGACUGACGCUCAGGUGCGAAAGCGUGGGGAGCAAACAGG
rnacentral:rRNA from 1 species